rnacentral:tRNA from 1 species
UUAAAAAUAAGCUAAAUUAAAGCUUUUGGGCUCAUACCUCAAAUAUAAAGGAG